GGGAAAGACUGGUAGCAGUGGGCAGCACGCAGGGGAGGAGUUCCGUUCUGUUUCCAGUGCCACAAAGCCAAAAACCUAGAUCUGCUUCUUGCCCAAGUAGCCACUGAAAUGCUUAAAACCCACAAGAAUAGAACUCACCCACCCCAACACAGAAAUAUCCCUGGAAUUGACUAAUCCUGAACUAUCUCAACUUGGCUGUUAAAUCUUGACUAAUCAACUAAGGCAGGUACUUCGAGCCCUGAUUCAAGAAAUUUUCUAGACUCUACCAACUAUAUAUUGGGAAGGAG